UGCACUUUAUCGCUGAGUCCUUGAAUUUAAAAGGAACGGGGGAACCAAAGAAGCGCGUGAUACCUGAUUCGAUCAUUUCGUAGUCAGAUACACGAGCUUCAUGGGGUGAAUCCUCUGGGCAUCUUCGAUGCCCGGGGGUAGGGCUACUCUCUAGCCCGAAUCCGACAGCUAACCUCGUAAGCGUAUAGGGAGAGGCAAC
rnacentral:sRNA from 2 species